rnacentral:sRNA from 1 species
GAACCCGAUACCUUCGCCCGCGGGCCAGUCCGUAUAUGGCCCGACGGCUGUCGUUUCA